ensembl:lncRNA
UGCCACUAUCUCCUUCACCUCUUCACAUAAAGAGAUGACCUUAUUCCUUACUGAAGCUAACCUUUCUGGAGCAGAGUCAAUAUGGCUGCUUAGAAGCAGCAAAAGUCCAGAUCUUUAUGAAAACCCUUCCACAUCAAUCAAAAACAAAAUGCUUCAAGAGGACAGAAAACCAAAUUUAACAAUAGGACAGAGCUGGGGGACCCUCCUGCUUAAUUCAAUUUAAAAGGGUAUGUGGAGAAGGCUGAAUUCUCAGAUUUAAGGAAAAGGAGGAAGGAAGGUCCCAGGACCCUUCCCCCAACCUACUCUGCUGAGUCUCUGAUGGUCACUGGAAUCUUGAGGUGAGGGCUCCAGCCCAGCAGGAGUGCCUUGCUGCCACAGCUGGGCCAGGUCUCUAGUCACAGCUGUCAGGGAGGCAGCUGUAGGAGAGGCACAUAGGGAGGGCAGCCUGGUCACAGACAACAUUCUCCAUUUUUGGCCUCUGCUUCUUGAAGUUUUGACUUCAGGGUACAUACAUGCAGAUUAAUCUAGUCUAUCAAUAGUUCAGAUAAGAAGCCUUAAAAGGACAGGGAAGCUCAAUCUCCAACAUCCCUCCCCCACUGAAGUUACUGAAAGCCACCAUAAAAGAUAAGAAUCCUGCUAACUGGAAUUCCAGGGUGAAGGCUACAAUUAUGACAGAAUACCUUGAUAACAGGGUGACAGAAUUCCUUCAUAACUGUAAAAAUGGAGAUUUGAACUCUGGACUCCAUUCCCCAGAAGUCCUUGCUCACUUCCUAAAAUGCCUUGUAAUCUCACCUGGGCCAAGAUCGAGAUGGGGUAUUUAACCUGGUUGUAAAGGCUGCGUGCGCUCUUUCCUACUUCCGCUUCCCAGCAGACGUGUCUCUUUCAUGAUGAAUGACUCUCUGGGUUGGGGUGAAGAGAAGUAUUGGAAAAUGAAGGUGAUAAAAAAACACAAGGUGUCAACAAAAAAUGUAACAAUGUCUAUCAGUUCUGGAAAUGGAAGGACUAAGAAUUGCCCUUUGUACAAACUCCUAUUCAGUGACUUUGGACUCUGUUUUUGUAAAGUCAUAGUCAGAUUUCUAAGAAGAUAUAAAGAAAAGCAAAACGGAAAAAUGGAAUAUUUGUCUUGAGAAAGCAAGUAUCGACACAAUUUUCCAUUGUCAUCUUCUGGAAAGCUGAAUAACAAUUUCCAAUAAGCCCUUUGUCCUAAAUAAUCUGGUUUUACAUUUACUCUUGUAAUUACUUUGGCCUGGCCAAAUCUCUUAAUACUAUUUAUCAUUUAUUGAGUGCCAACCAGGGGCAAAGAGAUACUCCUUAUGUGGUGAAUCAUUAUUUGAAUAGGACAAAACAAGAUGAGACAGAAAGCUCUAACAGACAGUGCAUGGGCUUGCUUGGGAGGAUAAUGCAUAUCUAUAUGACUUUUAUUUCAUCCUAUCUGUUCUAUUAGCCUAAGAAAUGUGGAAGAGCAAAAUCAGUUUCAAAAUGAGAUCAGUAUAGGUGAUAGAAGAUGUAAGAGGGGAAAAGAACAAAAAAUGACUACAAUUACAAAGAAAUUACAAAGAAAAACUACUCUUUAUUGAUCUCAUGUCCUAGUUCUUAAUCUGAGGUACACAGAUCUCCUCUCCCUAC